AUGGCAGCCUGUGUUUUAGGGGGCGGAAACCGUGUUUUGGACGGUCGACGUCUGUGGGGGCCGAAAAGAGGUGAUGUCACUUUAGAUUUUCUCUCUCUCACACACUCGCCCUCUUUCUCGACUCCCCUCCCUCCCUGCUCCUCUAAUCCUCUUUGCAGGUCUGGAGAGGAGGGGUGGCCGACUGCCAAGGCAAGGGCUGCUGGGAAAUGCCGAAGGCUGCCAAGCGAGGCCCAAAGCACACAUCUUUGUUCUCUGAGACCUUGUGUUCUGCCAGGCCUCUGGUUCCAGUGCCGCAUUAUGACUGUCCUGGAAGCUCUCCAGGAUACAGAAGACUGCCCCCCCACUCAAAAAAAAAACCCCAACAUUCCCCACUCUCUCUCACACCAACUCACUCACACACACACACACUCUCUUAUUCAUCUAAAGUCUUUUCCAAGGCUCCCUGCCAAACAUUCUGCAGUUGCCAUGGCAGCAAGGGCAGAGGGAGAGGGAGAAGCAAAACUGUGGAAGAUUGGACAGAGGUUGAGCUGCUUCCAAAUAUAACACUGUGGCUCUGCGAUAGGAGUGGAGUCCGUGGUGAUGUAACCAAAGCCCCGAAGGCAAGAACCCAGCAAAUAAUGGCCCUGCUUACGUAACGUCCAGACAGCCCUCACCACAAGCCGCUCUCAGGCUGCCCACUUGAGGAUGGAAGGGGGAGGGGGGUUGACAUCAGGGAAAGAAGAUCAUCCAGCCAAAUGUUCAAAGUCCAGCAGAAUCGAGCACAUGCCCAACUGGGUAUUUCAAAUGGGUGCCUGCUUAAUUAGACAAGGCGGCCAGUGCCGUGCAAUAGGCUUUUUUUGGGGGGGUCGCACUUUACAGGCAGCAAAUUCUCUGGAAUAUAUGUGUCAUGCUUCACCCACAAGCUCUAAUGCACACAUGCAUUUAUCUAUAUGAGGUUUUUAUGCAAUUUUCUUUUACUGUAGCUGUAGGAAAUCCCAUAAACCCACUUUGUUGACAAAAGUGAUUUCGCAGCUACAUCUGUUAUCCAGAUCAGAAUAAUUUUUUUUUUGGGGGGGGGGGGGGGGGGGGAGAAAGAGACGCAGAAGCCCUCAGUUAGAGCUCCCAUGUCACGGAAACAUCUUUUUUAUGACCUUAUCCGUGUGAGUCACACGCUGGUCAAGCAGUGAAAAACAUCCUCAGAGUCGUCCUUUCCCCAUGGCUUCAAGCCUCCUGCCCCAAGACGUCACAUGGAGUGACCUCAAACUCUGAACCAGAGAGGAGACAGUUCAGGGCUCCUAUUACAUCCAGAUGUGUGUGUGUGUGUGUGUGUGUGUGUGUGUGUGUGUGUGUUGAGCAUUGGGUAUUCUGGUACUGGGUCUCCUCUAUCAGGGAUCUGCCUUAACGAGCAUCAAUAGUCCCUUUAUGGUCUCGUUCCGUCUGCAAAUCAUUUGCAUUCGUUAUCGUCAUGCACUCAGGCUUUGUUCCCUUUUCCCUGUGCUGUAAUCUUUCCACAAAAAACAUUCUUUUUCUUUUUGGGGACAUUGCUCUGUUAACCACUGACUUUCUGUGCUUUGUAAUGUCAGCAGAGAGAAAGUUCUGCUUUCGUGUGUUUGUUCAUGGUGCAGUUCAGCAUGAUGUGACGUGUGUGUGUGUGUGUGUGUGUGUGUGAGAUGACUAAGUACUGAAUGCAUUGCUAUGAAUGUGUUCACUGAUGUAUUCCAUUAUAGUACAUAAAAAGUGUUCAGAGUGCAUUUUGUACAUGUGUAAAACAGCUGUGUUGUAUCAUUAUUUGUUCUUUUUUCUUGUGUAAUACUUUUGCUAGUUACUAUAUAUGGUGUGUGUAUGUAUGUGUGUGUGUGUGUGUGUAUAUAUAUAUAUAUAUAUAUAUAUACUUACUAUAUAUCAAAAUCAACAUGAAUAAAAUACCAAUAUUAUUUUCUAUUCUCUGUCA
ensembl:lncRNA